rnacentral:lncRNA from 1 species
AUUGAAGAAAUCAACGACACUUUUGUUAGUGACAAACUGAAGAACUGAAACUUCACCAACCAACUUUGAUUCCUUCAAUAGAAAUGCAACCUGUGAUCACAAGUUGCAGAUUGUUACAAACAAGUUUGUGUACCUUGCCAUCAUGUAGAGUUAUUGAAUGGUUCUCAAAAUCAUAGUUUUGGAUGAUACACUGAAAUCAAUGAACCUCUCCAGCCCUAAACUCGUAAGUAAACUCUUUCGAUCUGUAGAAUUACAGCAUAUAGUUAUGUAGGAUUAGCUG